GAUGAACGCUGGCGGCGUGCCUAAUACAUGCAAGUCGAGCGAACGGACGAGAAGCUUGCUUCUCUGAUGUUAGCGGCGGACGGGUGAGUAACACGUGGAUAACCUACCUAUAAGACUGGGAUAACUUCGGGAAACCGGAGCUAAUACCGGAUAAUAUUUUGAACCGCAUGGUUCAAAAGUGAAAGACGGUCUUGCUGUCACUUAUAGAUGGAUCCGCGCUGCAUUAGCUAGUUGGUAAGGUAACGGCUUACCAAGGCAACGAUGCAUAGACGACCUGAGAGGGUGAUCGGCCACACUGGAACUGAGACACGGUCCAGACUCCUACGAGAGGCAGCAGUAGGGAAUCUUCCGCAGUGGGCGAAAGCCUGACGGAGCAACGCCGCGUGAGUGAUGAAGGUCUUCGGAUCGUAAAACUCUGUUAUUAGGGAAGAACAUAUGUGUAAGUAACUGUGCACAUCUUGACGGUACCUAAUCAGAAAGCCACGGCUAACUACGUG
rnacentral:rRNA from 1 species